GGGUCCGUCGGGGGAGCGGGGACGGUAAGACGUAUGGCUGACGCGUGUGCCGGAAUGAUUGGGCGUAAAGAGCGUGGAGGUGUGUGUUGGCGUCUGCCGGGAAGACCCGAGGCUCAACCUCGGGCGGGCGGUGGGUACGGGCAGGCUAGAGUGUGGUAGGGGAGACUGGGACUCCUGGUGUAGCGGUGAUAUGCGCAGAUAUCAGGAAGAACACCGAUGGCGAAGGCAGGUCUCUGGGCCAUUACUGACACUGAGAAGCGAAAGCAUGGGGAGCGAACAGGAUUAGAUACCCGUGUAGUC
rnacentral:rRNA from 1 species